rnacentral:lncRNA from 1 species
AAAAUUCUCCCCAAAUUCACACCAAAUUUCUCCCCAAAUUCACGCCCAGAAUCCCAAUCCCAGGAGUCCCAAAUCUUCUCAAAUUCAUCCCCAAAUUCGCCCAAAUUCCUCCUCAAAAUCCUCCCAAAUUCUUCCCCAAAUCCCCCCAAACUCCCGAGGGAUCUGUAAUGGGUGCGCAGCGGGAACGCCACCCGGAACCCCCCGCUGGGCCUGCGGGGGGAAUUCGGGGUCAGAAUCGAGGAUUUUGGGAAAUUUCAGAACAUUCGUACAAAAUUCGCCGGAGUUUCCAGCAAAAUCCGCUGAAAUUUGCCCCAAAAUCGCCCUAAAAUCACCCGAAACAGGAUGAAAUUUCCUCCACAAAUUCGGUCGCCAAAUCCCCUAAAAUUCUUCCCCAAAUUCUUUCCCAAAUUUCACCCCUCAAAAUCCCAGUCCCAGGAGUCCCAAAUCCUCUCAAAUUCUUCCCCAAAUUCACCCAAAUUUCUCCUCAAAAUCCUCCCAAAUUCACCCCCAAAUUCACCCAAAUUCGUUCCCCAAAAUCCCAAUCCCAGGAGUCCCAAAUUCCCUCAAAUUCUUCCCCAAAUUCACCCAAAUGUCUCCUCAAAAUCCUCCCAAAGUCACCCCAAAAUUCUCCCCAAAUUCACUCCCAAAUUUCUCCCCAAAUUCACUCCCCAGAAUCCCAAUCCCAGGAGUCCCAAAUCCUCUCAAAUUCUUCCCCAAAUUCAAUCAUAUUCCUCCUCAAAAUCCUCCCAAAUUCACCCCCAAAUUCACCCAAAUUCACUCCCCAAAAUCCCAACCCCAAGAGCCCCAAAUUCCCUCAAAUUCAUCCCCAAAUUCCCCCAAAUUCCUCCUCAAAAUCCUCCCAAAUUCACCCCCAAAUUCACCCAAAUUCACUCCCCAAAAUCCCAACCCCAAGAGCCCCAAAUUCCCUCAAAUUCUUCCCCAAAUUCAUCCAAAUUUCUCCUCAAAAUCCUCCCUCAAUUCACCCAAAUUCGUUCCCCAAAAUUCCAAUCUCAGGAGACCCAAAUCCUCUCAAAUUCUUCCCCAAAUUCCCCCAAAUUUCUCCUCAAAAUCCUCCCAAAUUCACCCCCAAAUUCACCCCGAAUCUCUCCCAAAUUCACUCCCCAAAAUCCCAAUCCCAAGAGUCCCAAAUUGCCUCAAAUUCUUCCCCAAAUUCACCCAAAUUUCUCCUCAAAAUCCUCCCAAAUUCACCCCAAAAUUCUCCCCAAAUUCACUCCCAAAUUUCUCCCCAAAUUCACGCCCAGAAUCCCAAUCCCAGGAGUCCCAAAUCUUCUCAAAUUCUUCCCCAAAUUUCACCCCAAAUUCACCCAAAUUCAC